CUUUUCCUUUCUUUUCUUUUCUUGGCCACAUCUGGGGCAUAUGGAAGUUCCCUGGCUAGGGGUUGAAUCAGAGCUAGUGGAAACUACCAUAUUCUACAGGUGCGGCCCUAAAAAAGACCAAAAAAAAAUAAUAAUAAUAAUAAUAAAAUAAAUAAAUAAAUGGAGAAAUAGAUAAAUCCAGAAUUGCAUCUUCAGACUUCAAUAUUUAAUCACUCAGCAAUUAACAGAGGAAGACAGAAAAUCCCUAAGGAUAUAGAAGACCUAAAAAAAAAAAACAACAAACUCUACCUAAUGACAAGUAUGUUACACUUCAUCCCUUAAUAGUAGAAUACACGAUGUUUUCAAAUACACAUGAAAUAUUCACAAAGAUCACAAUCUGGGCCAUAAAACAAAUUGUAACACAUUUAAAAUUAUUUAAAUGAUAACAAACUAUGUUUUCUAACCAUAAAGGAAUUAAGCUAGAAAUCAAUAACAAGAAGAAAUUUGGAAAAUGUCCAAAUAUUUGGAAAUAAAGCCACACACUCCUAGACAACCCAUGGGUCAAAGUGGAAAUCCCAGUGGAAAUUAGAAAAUAUUUUGAACUGAAUAAAAAUGAACACAGAGCAUAUCAAAAUUCAUGAGUUGUAGCUAAAGCAGGACCUACAGAGAAAUUUACAGCAUUAAAGACAUUUAUUAGAGAAGGUGAGUGGCUUGGUGGUGGUAGGGUUAGAACAAAACUCCUGAGGAUUUUUAUGAUAUGAUAAUGCUUAUAAUUUCAGGAUUAAAAUAUAUCUUAAUGAUUUUUUUUAUUUGCUUUUUUUUAGGGCUGCACCCACGGCAUAUGAAAGUUCCCAGGCUAGGGGUCAAAUCGGAGCUCUAGCCGGGCUACACCACAGCCACAGCAAUGCCACAUCUGAGCCACGUCUGUGACCUACACCAGAGCUCACGGCAAUGCCAGAUCCUCAACCCACUGAGCAAGACCAGGGAUCAAACCCACAUCCCCAUGGAUACUUGUCAGGUUCAUUACCCUGAGCCACAACAGGAACUCCCUCUUUUAUUUUUGAAAUUACUCUUUUUGGUAAACUAUCAGUUAUUUACCCAAAAUGUAAUCUAAUCUCUUUUUUCUUCCUGUGUACAUGCUAGCCUGAUACCUUUCUCGACUUCUCUGCAGUUAAGUGUGAUCAAAUGAAGUUUUGCCAGUGAU
rnacentral:lncRNA from 1 species